ACGUAGGGGGCAAGCGUUAUCCGGAUUUACUGGGUGUAAAGGGAGCGUAGACGGCAUGGCAAGCCAGAUGUGAAAACCCAGGGCUCAACCUUGGGAUUGCAUUUGGAACUGCCAGGCUGGAGUGCAGGAGAGGUAAGCGGAAUUCCUAGUGUAGCGGUGAAAUGCGUAGAUAUUAGGAGGAACACCAGUGGCGAAGGCGGCUUACUGGACUGUAACUGACGUUGAGGCUCGAAAGCGUGGGGAGCAAACAG
rnacentral:rRNA from 1 species